rnacentral:miRNA from 12 species
GGGACAUGGUCACUGAGCAUGGUGGGGAUGGGCUGGGGUUGGACUUGGGGAUCUUAGUGGUCUUUUCCAACCUUAAUGAUUCCGUGAUUCU